GGAGAUUUAGCUCAGCUGGGAGAGCAUCUGCCUUACAAGCAGAGGGUCAGCGGUUCGAUCCCGUUAAUCUCCA
rnacentral:tRNA from 1 species